UUACCCCUGCGAUGUACGUGCUGGACGGUAACAUUUGAAAGAACCGAUGCCCUUACUCAGGGAAGUCAGGCCUUGGCGGAUCGGAAACGCCUACCCGAUAGGACUUUCGGACGCGAGCAACGACUGCCCACUUGGAUGUAAAGGGUUCUUUUCAAAGACGUCCACACGGCAAAUGUGGAGGUUGG
rnacentral:other from 1 species